ensembl:snRNA U2 U2 spliceosomal RNA
AUUGUUGUAUGUGAAAUGGUGAAUAAAAUGGUUAAAAAAAAAAAAUCUGUUCUUAUCAGUUUAAUAUCUGAUACGUCCCCUACCCGGGGACCAUAUAUUAAAUUGAUUUUUGGAACAGGGAGAUGGAAUAGGGGCUUGCUCCGUCCACUCCACGCAUCGACCCGGUAUUGCAGUACCUCCGGGAACGGUGCACCUCCU